rnacentral:misc_RNA from 1 species
AAAUUUAGAUUGGAUUGAGUCCGGAUGAGAUCUUCGAAAUGUUCAAUUUGAACGGCAUUUGUCGGAAGAUUGUACUUUUCUUGAGUAGUUUUUGAUAGCCAAAUUAUCUUAUUAUUUAUCAAGCUAGCCUUCAAAUUUUUCAGCAAAUGAGGAACAUCAGCAAGAAAAUACAACUUUCUGUGGGCAUCCAUCGGAUGUGGACAGCUGUUGCUCACAUCGGUAUGACGACCUGCACUUAUAUUAAACGAUGCCCACAGUGCACGGUUUGCAGUACCCAUGUCAGAUGUAACAGCAGUCACUAUAAGCACCAUUUACCGAAUGUCCUGUAAAAUAAUAGGCAACAAUUUGCUUCCACCGUACAGUGACUCCUGCC